rnacentral:misc_RNA from 1 species
AAUUUCACAAUGUAGAUGUUAAGGUACAUUUUUAUAAUUCUGUCUGUUCUUUCUUUUGUUGUUAUCAUCAUAGAGGAAAUUGUUUUGCAUGCAGUUCUAUCACAAGAGAUAUAAACUUUUCAUGGGUCCUCACCUAUAACUUUGAGUUUUUAGUUUGAGUAGUUUCCUAACGUAGUAUCAAAGUCUCGUCAACCAAAAUAUCUGGAGUUCAAAUCUUGGGCACUUCCUCUUAUUAACUAAAAUCACAAGGGUUUCUCAUCCAAACUACAAGCUCAACAAGCUUAGCAUGAAGGGAAGUGUUUUAUCUAUAAGCUUGAACUUUUAAGUUGAAUGGUUUUUUUGUUAAUAAGCUUUUUUGUAUUAAAAGCUUACAUUCUUUUACUGCAAAUAAACUAAAUAUUUGCUGGAUAAUUGACAAAAUUCUGAAUUGCUUUUUAGCAUUUUAAUGCUAUAAAUAUAAAAAAAAAAUGGAAAAGAUAUCUGUAAUGAGGAGAGUUUGUGAGAAACUAUUUGAAGCUUGUAAUGAACCAUCUAGUAAAAAUUUUAACCAGGUGAGUUUUGUACUUUUCUGGCAUUUAUACAGCUACAUGUUUGGGCUUAUCUAUAAUAUAUUUAUAUAUGAUUUCACACUGUAGCCUUCCAUGCCAAGGGGAGAACUUGGCUGUUGUAGAUGUGCAUUAACAAAUCUUGGAGGAAAUUUCUUUGACUUCUUGGUGGUUUAGGCUUUACUCUGGUGUUCACUGAUUACUUUAUGAUUUACAUUUAUGUGCAUAUGCUGUUUGGAUAUCAUCAAUAUAAAUUCAAUCAGACUUUUUUUGGUUUCAAG